rnacentral:rRNA from 1 species
CGGCGGACGGGUGAGUAACGCGUGGGUAACCUGCCUCAUACAGGGGGAUAACAGUUGGAAACGGCUGCUAAUACCGCAUAAGCGCACAGUACCGCAUGGUACCGUGUGAAAAACUCCGGUGGUAUGAGAUGGACCCGCGUCUGAUUAGCUAGUUGGUGGGGUAACGGCCUACCAAGGCGACGAUCAGUAGCCGACCUGAGAGGGUGACCGGCCACAUUGGGACCGAGACACGGCCCAA